CCUACGGGAGGCAGCAGUGGGGAAUAUUGCACAAUGGGGGAAACCCUGAUGCAGCGAAGCCGCGUGAGCGAUGAAGUAUUUCGGUAUGUAAAGCUCUAUCAGCAGGGAAGAAAAUGACGGGACCUGACUAAGAAGCCGCGGCUAACUACGAGCCAGCAGCCGCGGGAAUACGUAGGGGGCCAGCGUUAUCCGGAUGUACUGGGUGUAAAGGGAGCGUAGACGGCUUGGCAAGCCAGAUGUGAAAGGCUGGGGCUCAACCCCAGGACUGCAGUUGGAACUGUCAUGCUAGAGUGUCGGAGAGGAAUGCGGAAUGCCUGGUGUAGCGGUGAAAUGCGUAGAUAUCAGGAGGAACACCAGUGGCGAAGGCGGCCUGCUGGACGAUGACUGACGUUGAGGCUCGAAAGCGUGGGGAGCAAACAGGAUUAGAUACCCCAGUAGUC
rnacentral:rRNA from 1 species